rnacentral:rRNA from 11 species
UAGAAAUGUUAAAAAAUCCUAAAGGCACCAAAUCCCAUUUGAUCUUGGAUGCUAAGCAGGGUCAACCUUGUUUAGUACCUGAAUGAAAAACCACCAGGUGGUGUAUGCUAUAUUUCAGA